rnacentral:rRNA from 1 species
UUGCACGCUGGCGGCAGGCCUCACACCUGCAAGUCGAGCGGAUGAAGGGAGCUUGCUCCUGGAUUCAGCGGCGGACGGGUGAGUAAUGCCUAGGAAUCUGCCUGGUAGUGGGGGAUAACGUCCGGAAACGGGCGCUAAUACCGCAUACGUCCUGAGGGAGAAAGUGGGGGAUCUUCGGACCUCACGCUAUCAGAUGAGCCUAGGUCGGAUUAGCUAGUUGGUGGGGUAAAGGCCUACCAGGGCGACGAUCCGUAACUGGUCUGAGAGGAUGAUCAGUCACACUGGAACUGAGACACGGUCCAGACUCCUACGGGAGGCAGCAGUGGGGAAUAUUGGACAAUGGGCGAAAGCCUGAUCCAGCCAUGCCGCGUGUGUGAAGAAGGUCUUCGGAUUGUAAAGCACUUUAAGUUGGGAGGAAGGGCAGUAAGUUAAUACCUUGCUGUUUUGACGUUACCAACAGAAUAAGCACCGGCUAACUUCGUG